CUUGUUACCAAAAUACCGAAUCAUCAAUUAUAUACAUAACAUUGCUGAAUCAUCAAUUCAAUAAUUUCAUUACGUAAAUUCAAUAUUUAAUUGAAUACACUCAUCAACCAAAUUAAAUCAUUACUAUCAAAUACAAGACAUAGCCGAAUCAUUAAACAAUAGAUAACAUAUCAAGCAUAAUUCAUACUUAUAUAUAUCAUAGCCGAUUCAACCAAACCGAAUAAAGUCAUCAUUUGAGC
rnacentral:lncRNA from 1 species